UAUUUCAGGUAAUCCAGCCAACUUUUGUUUCAUAUUGUGCAACACACACACACACAGAGGAAACCAGUGAACAUCCUGCUGUAAAAAAGAAGAAAAUGUAACAUAUAUAGGCCAUAUGUUCUAGUUUGUUGCACCUAGUCUACUAGAUAUAUCUAUAAUGCACUAAUGUUUUAGUUCAAAAGGCAAACAAUGGCUAAAAAAGAGAGACAAAGUAGCAGAUUGCUUAUUGGUGAUCACUUCUUCUGUGCAAAAUUUGUUUGUUAGAAGCUCAUCCAUCCAGCUCCUGGUUGGUAGACAAAAACAAAACAAAAAGAAGAUGUGUUACUGCUUGUAAGAUUGUUGAUGCAUAAAAAACAAAAACUUCAUGAGAAAACAUGGGACCCCAUGUUGUAUGUCAUCUUGGUCAAAAUUGGCAGAAUACCCUAUCUGGAACUAUGGAAAAACAUAAAAAAUGUAUGUGGCGGCAAACCUGACAACAUAUUGGAACUAGAUAGAUUUGUGGUGUGCAACUUAUGGUUUUCUUCUGUGCAACUUAAAAAAGAAUUGUGCAACUGACAGAACUAGUUUGGAUGUUUGACUUGAAUAAAAAUACUUUCAGAUUUGUGUCUAUUGUGUGCCAGCUGGAAUAGAACUUGUGUGAAAAGCUUGAAUACAGAAGAAGAAGAAAUGUAAUACAACAGCAAAAAAAAACAUCAUGUGUUUUAUUUGUGCAAUCUGUGGGUGCAUCUGUGCAACUGAUUAGACCCAUGUGUGCAACUGAGAGAAUUUAUUUGGAUGUUUAGUUUGAUAGAAAAGGUGCUGCCAAAAUUUGAUUUGUUUAUUUCAAACUCAUGCUGAUUUGUUUGUUUGUUCCCUCUUCCACUACCUUUGAGAGAAAAAUGUAUAAGCCUUUGUGCAACUACCAUGGGUUGUUGUGCCAGACUGGUAUGCCUAGUUGUAAAACUGCCAGAACAAACAUGUGCAAGUUAAAAAAGGAGAUGUAUUCAAAAACAAAAGAAGGGGAGCAAAAAGGUCUACUCACUUGUAGCUUGACAAACACACCAUACCCCUUCAAGUCCAUCUUAAUGACUGUGACGAUUAGAUUGCUAUUCCAUGACAUUGGUUGGAUGGGGAAAAUUACUUACACACACCUCUAACUGACAUAAUUAAGAAAAGAAAUUUGUUAGGUCUGUCUAAUUGAAAUAGUGAAUUUUAAAAGAUGAUAGCUAAUAUCAGGUUCAUGUGCAACUAUGCCUUAUAUGGAUGCCAACUACUAUAAGGUUCAUGUGCAACUACAAACUGUAGGGAUGCCAACUUGAAUCAGUUUCGUGUAUGAAAGAAACUUGCAUGAUAUAUGGAGCCAACUACUAUGAGGUUCGUGUGCAAUUACAACCGCUAGAGAUACCAACAAAAUAUGUGAAUAUGGAAAAACAAGAUAAUUAAACUGCCAACUAAGUAUGGCCGUAUUGUGCAACUUCCUCAUACUCUUAACCAAGUAGGGAUGCUACAAUGGCCACUAGUACUACAAAAAUGACUAAAUUGGAUAAACUGCAGGAACUGAAAUUGAAUGUCAUGCCUCUCUCUUGGAUGCCCUGCUGUUUCAAGCACUAGUUAUGCAAGCCUACUACUAAUGCAAAAUCAUGUACAGAAAAAAUCGAAAAAGAAAUUGAAAUAUUGGCAACGGCUUGUGUGAAUUACCCAUAAACAACCUCUGGUAUGCAACUUCUACAUAAUUUAACUACGAUCACUAGAGGAAUUUAGUUACAGCCACGAAAAACGAGAACCAAAUCAUGUAGCAUCAGCAAAAUGCAAAAAAUCAUCAUCGGCAGCAGGCGUAUCAUAUAAUCGGCAAAAUGUCAUUGAUUAUUCAGUUAACAAUGAGAGCAAACCAACUGAGCAUCCGUGUGGUAUGCUACUACAAAAACAGUGUGUGCAAUUUGACAGCAAUGCAAGCCAACUGAGCAUACAUGUAUGUGCAAAAAAUACACCCCAUACUGAACAUGCUUUGGGCAGUGUAGUCGACUACCUGAAGGUUCCUGUGCAACUAAAGAACCUGACUAGCCAACUAUGUACUCCUCUGCGUGCAACUUCACCGGACCCGUCUAAAAAACAACUAAAAUUGGACAACUUAUGCAAUGCAGUCAAUCCCCUGACAACUAGCACUUCACCGGAGUCCCGUGCAAACACAGAAAUGGAACAUCGCCCACCCCCGGUGACUCACUCCUGCAGCAACCCCGAGCAGCCGUUGUUGCCGCGCGUGGUUCCUCACUGUCAUCGCCACGCGCGGCAGCAACUUUCCAUCCUCCCGUCGCCCCCUCUGCAUCCUAUCAUAGCGCCCGACAACAGCUCUGCAUCCUCAUGCCGCGCCAACUUAUCAUAUGUGUGUGCAACUAGUCCUGCCAACUAAACAUCAAUGUGUGUGCAACUAGACUACAUUGCAGGCCAACUGAGCAUAUGUGUGUGUGCAACUAAUCCUGCCAACUAAACUGUGUGUGCAACUAGACUACAUUGCAGGCCAACUGAGCAUAUGUGUGUGCAACUAGUACUGCCAACUAAACAUCAAUGUGUAUCAAACUAGAAUACAUUGCAUGCCAAUUGAGAAUAUGUGUGUGCAACCAGUCCUGCCAGUUAAUCAUCAAUGUGUGUCUAGACUACAUUGCAGGCCAACUGAGCAUAUGUGCGUGCAACUAGUCCUACCAACUAAACAUCAAUGCAUGUGCAACUAGACUACAUUGCAGGCAAACUGAGUAUAUGUGUCUGCAAAAACACCUAGAGUGCAUGAACAUGCUUUUAUGCAAUGCAUUCAACUUCCCUACCGUUUUUGUGCAACUACAUAAUCUAACUAGCCAACUACGUAAUGCUCUCCGUGCAGCUACCCAGAUCUGUCGAGGAAACACAUAGGGCGCACCACCACCUAGAAUCUCGUCAUGUAGUCCCGACGCAACACACGCCGGGACCGAAGCAAGAAACCCAUCCCUAUGCCCCACCUACCCACCACAUCCACCGCGACUAGAACCUUGUCGGAAACCGCAGCUGCAGACGCGAAACGCCAAGAUGUGAAACCACAAAACCCGGACCACCACCCCUGAAUCAUCUCCUUCCCAUUCAUCUUUGAUUUUCCUUGCUACAGCAAAUCAAUACUUUUUGAGAAAAAAAAAGAACUCUGAACUUUCAAAUAGAUAUGCUUCUAAACUCAUCUUUGAGACAACAUUCAGGAUAAAUUGAUGCGGGAUACUGUUAUGUCCCAAUUCGACAAUUCCUAAACAAACUGAUAAUCAUAAUUGUCUAUCUACUAUUGCCUACGAAAAAUGCCCCAGUGAUUCAAACACAGUGUCCAUAAUUGCCUCUCAAUCCUUUCUACAAUUCCCAGUACAUGGCCGAACUGCCCAACAAAUUUGAUGGGGAAAAAUUUCUCUUGUGUACCAAUCCCCCUUGCUCUCCCACGUCUUCUCCACACCUCCCCGCUGAAUCAUCUCCCGGACAACGGAAGCAACACACAUGGCUACAUCGAUACUCAAGUGAAGGAGAGAACCACAUGAACAAGUAGUUCGAAAGGGGGCAAACCUUGCGACUUCCAGUCUUGCACGCUGCCGAUGCACAAUCAGUUAUCUCCCGCACCACGCGGAGUCGCCUCUCACACGCCGCGGUCGCACAAGCUCGCGUCGCACCACCGCCUCCUGCUACAUGAGGGUCGCGUGAGCUGUCAAUGUCAAGCGACUUAUCUCCCUCACCAUGGGGGCGCCCUUCGACAGCGAGCGAAGUCCUGCUCCUCCCUCGCCGUGCUUGCAGAUGCUGAGCCGCUCAGCUCUGUUAGCUCGCCGGAUCCAAGAUCCACUGUCGCCGGCACCACGCCGCCGCGCCGACCCGUGUCGCUGUGGACGGAUGGGGAGAAGGGAUAAGAGAGGGGUGUGUGUGUGGGACAAAUCUUCAGAAGGGUGGGGAAUGGACGCCGACCACGAAACGACAGAAAUCUACUAGUCGGUGCGCAUCGCAUCAAAAUCCUACGGCUCACGGCCGGCCGGUCGAUGACGCGAAAUAGUGCGCGUGCAUUUUUUUAGAAUUUAGGAAACAAAAAACAACUAAGCAAACUUGCCUUCGCAGGAAGGAGUGUCCAGCUGAGUCACCUGUGUAAGUGCUCCGACGAAAAGAACUCGACAAAUACGUCGGCAAGAUGAUUUUUCUCGUUGCGUAGUGCCGCUGGCACUAGGCAAUGAUGGUGACUCCGGCAGUGUCGCAACUUCACUGUCUUAUAU
rnacentral:lncRNA from 1 species